CCUACGGGUGGCUGCAGUGGGGAAUAUUGGGCAAUGGACGCAAGCCUGACCCAGCAACGCCGCGUGAAGGAAGAAGGCUCUCUGGUUGUAAACCUCCUUUCUGAGGGACGAAGAAAGUGACGGUACCUCAUGAAUAAGCCACGGCUAACUACGUGCCAGCACCCGCGGGAAUACGUAGGUGGCAAGCUUUAUUCGGAUUUAUUGGGUGUAAGGGGUGAGUAGGCGGGAAAGCAAGUCAGAUGUGAAAACUCAGGGCUCAACCUGGGGCUUGCAUUUGAAACUGUUUUGCUUGAGUGCUGGAGAGGUAAUCGGAAUGCCGGGUGUAGCGGUGAAAUGCGUAGAGAUACGGAGGAACACCGGUGGCGAAGGCGGCCUGCUGGACUGCAACUGACGUUGAGGCCCGAAAGCGUGGGGAGCAAACAGGAUUAGAUACCCCAGUAGUC
rnacentral:rRNA from 1 species